AGCCGAAGGAUGAAGUGGAGGUGUCAGACGAUGAUGAGAAGGAGCCCGAGGUUGAUUACCGGACAGUGACAAUCAAUACUGAACAAAAAGUAUCUGACUUCUACGACAUUGAGGAGAGAUUAGGAUCUGGGAAAUUUGGACAGGUCUUUCGACUUGUAGAAAAGAAAACUCGAAAAGUCUGGGCAGGGAAGUUCUUCAAGGCAUAUUCAGCAAAAGAGAAAGAGAAUAUCCGGCAGGAGAUUAGCAUCAUGAACUGCCUCCACCACCCUAAGCUGGUCCAGUGUGUGGAUGCCUUUGAAGAAAAGGCCAACAUCGUCAUGGUCCUGGAGAUGUGAGUGGCCCACUGCCAGCAGCGUGGGCACCGCAGGGAGCCCCCAAACGUGUCUCCCCUACUGCCCUACCCCAGCCACCUCUGCCCCAAGAUGGAAAGCACUGCAGACAGGAGUGUGAUAUGUGAGAUGCUCACCAGCCAUACAGCCAGGCCUGACCAAACAGAACCGAAGGUCUGUGCACAGUGCUGGCCCUGAGCCUCUGAGCACCAGCCCAGCUGCAGCCUUGUGCUUAUUUCCAAAACAAACCAGUAGAUCUUUGAGGA
rnacentral:sRNA from 1 species